rnacentral:misc_RNA from 1 species
GUCAUUAUUCUCUUUGUUUCUGUGACAUGAAAGACUCCUGAAAAGCAGGACCAGAUCUGACCCUGUUACAUCCCCUCUCCCUGAUCAGCCCAAGGGUUUUUGCCUCCUUUUAUAUGUGCAUAUGCAAUAGCUUUGAAAGUAUAUUAUAUAAAGAUCAGGCGAUACCUUUUGACAGGGUGCUGUUCACUGCCCAUAUUACAUG